GGGACUCAGAAGGGAGCUGCAGUAUCGCUUAUGUCCACCAGAUGAUGCCACCAUUCAGUGGAAUUCCAGAUUCUGGCUUGGGGACGCAAGCAUGACUGUGGCCAAGUUUGAGAUUGGCCUGCUUUGGAAUAUCAAAUACCUCCUCUUUGGAGGGGAAGGAAGAUGAAAGCAAUGACAUCCACACUCCCCCAGAGCAUCUCCCCAGCACAGCCUGAGCUCUUGCAAUGGGGUUUUGUCGGGAGAGCUCAUCACCUGGAGUGGUCAGGGAGGGCUCAGUCACUGUGCGGUCACUGGGGGAGAAGACCUCGUGGCUUCAGCCUAGCCUGCUGAGGAAGCUCUUGGAGUCAGGGUGUCAGAGGGCUGAGACCCCACAGGAAGUGCAGAGCCGGAUGGGAAGGAGAGGUGACCACAUCCUGCAUUUCUCUGUGGUUCCCCCAGGAACCAGUAACACAGCCUGGAGGCUCAGCAGAGGAAAACCAAGAAGCCAAAUGAAAACCACA
rnacentral:lncRNA from 1 species